AGCGAACGCUGGCGGCAGGCUUAACACAUGCAAGUCGAGCGGGCACUUUCGGGUGUCAGCGGCGGACGGGUGAGUAACGCGUGGGAACGUGCCCUCUGGUUCGGAAUAACUCAGGGAAACUUGAGCUAAUACCGGAUACGCCCUUUUGGGGAAAGGCUUGCUGCCGGAGGAUCGGCCCGCGUCUGAUUAGCUAGUUGGUGAGGUAACGGCUCACCAAGGCGACGAUCAGUAGCUGGUCUGAGAGGAUGAUUAGCCACACUGGGACUGAGACACGGCCCAGACUCCUACGGGAGGCAGCAGUGGGGAAUAUUGGACAAUGGGCGCAAGCCUGAUCCAGCCAUGCCGCGUGAGUGAUGAAGGCCUUAGGGUUGUAAAGCUCUUUUAUCCGGGACGAUAAUGACGGUACCGGAGGAAUAAGCCCCGGCUAACUUCGUG
rnacentral:rRNA from 1 species